AGUGACAGGUGGUGCAUGGUUGUCGUCAGCUCGUGUCGUGAGAUGUUGGGUUAAGUCCCGCAACGAGCGCAACCCUUAAGCUUAGUUGCCAUCAUUAAGUUGGGCACUCUAAGUUGACUGCCGGUGACAAACCGGAGGAAGGUGGGGAUGACGUCAAAUCAUCAUGCCCCUUAUGAUUUGGGCUACACACGUGCUACAAUGGACAAUACAAAGGGUAGCGAAACCGCGAGGUCAAGCAAAUCCCAUAAAGUUGUUCUCAGUUCGGAUUGUAGUCUGCAACUCGACUAUAUGAAGCUGGAAUCGCUAGUAAUCGUAGAUCAGCAUGCUACGGUGAAUACGUUCCCGGGUCUUGUACACA
rnacentral:rRNA from 1 species